rnacentral:rRNA from 1 species
ACAAGGAUUCCCCUAGUAACGGCGAGUGAAGCGGGAAAAGCUCAAAUUUGUAAUCUGGCGGUCUCCGGCCGUCCGAGUUGUAAUCUGGAGAAGCGUUUCCGGCGCCGGUYCGCUUACAAGUCCCCUGGAACGGGGCUUCSCAGAGGGUGAGAAUCCCGUCUUUGACGCGGUCCACCGGUGCCAUGUGAUGCGCUCUCGAAGAGUCGAGUUGUUUGGGAAUGCAGCUCAAAACGGGUGGUAAAUUCCAUCUAAAGCUAAAUACUGGCGAAAGACCGAUAGCGAACAAGUACCGUGAGGGAAAGAUGAAAAGCACUUUGGAAAGAGAGUCAAACAGUACGUGAAAUUGUUGAAAGGGAAACGCUUGAAGUCAGUCGCGUCUCUCGGGACUCAGCCGAGACUUACCUCUCGGUGCAUUUCCCGAGUCUGGACGGGCCAGCAUCGGUUYCGACCGUCGUAAAAAGGCGUGAGGAAUGUGGCACCCUCGGGUGUGUUAUAGCCUCUCGUCGUAUGCGACGGACGGGACCGAGGAACGCAGCGCGCCCCUCGCGGGGCCGGGUUCGCCCACGUAACGCGCUUAGGAUGCUGGCGUAAUGGCUUUAA